rnacentral:rRNA from 1 species
AAGCCGCCGCGGGAAUACCGAGGGUGCGAGCGUUAAUCGGAUUUACUGGGCGUAAAGCGUGCGUAGGCGGCUUCUUAAGUCGGAUGUGAAAUCCCUGAGCUUAACUUAGGAAUUGCAUUCGAUACUGGGAAGCUAGAGUAUGGGAGAGGAUGGUAGAAUUCCAGGUGUAGCGGUGAAAUGCGUAGAGAUCUGGAGGAAUACCGAUGGCGAAGGCAGCCAUCUGGCCUAAUACUGACGCUGAGGUACGAAAGCAUGGGGAGCAAACAGGAUUAGAUACCCCCGGUAGUCCCUGUCUCUUAUA